UACGUAGGGUGCGAGCGUUAAUCGGAAUUGCUGGGCGUAAAGCGUGCGCAGGCGGUUGCAUAAGACAGAUGUGAAAUCCCCGGGCUUAACCUGGGAACUGCGUUUGUGACUGUGUAACUGGAGUACGGCAGAGGGGGGUGGAAUUCCUGGUGUAGCAGUGAAAUGCGUAGAUACCAGGAGGAACUCCGAUGGCGAAGGCAGCCCCCUGGGCCUGUACUGACGCUCAUGCACGAAAGCGUGGGGAGCAAACAGG
rnacentral:rRNA from 1 species